rnacentral:rRNA from 1 species
UACGGAGGGUGCAAGCGUUAUCCGGGUUCACUGGGUUUAAAGGGUGCGUAGGAGGGCAGGUAAGUCAGUGGUGAAAUCUCCAAGCUUAACUUGGAAACUGCCGUUGAUACUAUCUGUCUUGAAUGUUGUGGAGGUGAGCGGAAUAUGUCAUGUAGCGGUGAAAUGCUUAGAUAUGACAUAGAACACCAAUUGCGAAGGCAGCUUACUACACAAUGAUUGACGCUGAGGCACGAAAGCGUGGGGAUCAAACAGG